rnacentral:misc_RNA from 1 species
AAGUCGUAACAAGGUAACCGUAGGUGAACCUGCGGUUGGAUCAUUACCAAAUAUCCAACGGGCUUGCUCGCAAGAGCGACCCCUACCCACCUCUUGUGCAACGUAACGUUUUUGGCGGGAGCCAUUGCGUAUUGAGCAGCCUGCUGCUUAAUACGCAAUGGCCUUGCGGGGAGAUUUAAUUAGCUCUCUGACCGUCAAUAUAGAAUACACACCAUACCUUACCUAUAAAACACCUGACGCUAACAUGUUGGCGAGCGAGAGCUUUAACACUUUCAAUCAAAGACUAGAAUAACGAAAAACAACUUUUGACAACGGAUCUCUUGGCUCUC